rnacentral:rRNA from 1 species
AGAAUGAACGCUGGCGGCGUGCCUAACACAUGCAAGUCGAACGUGAAAGCGGGCUUCGGCCCGUUAGUAGAGUGGCAGACGGGUGAGUAACACGUGGGUAACCUGCCCGGAGGUGGGGGAUAACCCUUCGAAAGGAGGGCUAAUACCGCAUAAUAUCUCGAGCACUUCGGAGCACGAGAUCAAAGUCGGCCUCUUCUUGAAAGCUGACGCCACCGGAUGGACCCGCGCCCCAUUAGCUUGAUGGUGAGGUAAAGGCUCACCAUGGCGACGAUGGGUAGCCGGCCUGAGAGGGUGAUCGGCCACACUGGAACUGAGACACGGUCCAGACUCCUACGGGAGGCAGCAGUGAGGAAUUUUGCGCAAUGGGCGAAAGCCUGACGCAGCGACGUCGCGUGGAGGAUGAAGGUCUUCGGAUCGUAAACUCCUGUCAAGGGGGACGAAAGCCGGAGAGCUGAACAGGCUCAUCGGUUGACGGUACCUCUGGAGGAAGCCCCGGCUAACUCCGUGCCAGCAGCCGCGGUAAUACGGAGGGGGCCAGCGUUGUUCGGAAUCAUUGGGCGUAAAGGGCGCGUAGGCGGCUCUGUCAGUCGAAAGUGAAAUCCCACGGCUCAACCGUGGAACUGCUUUCGAUACUGCAGGGCUUGAGUCCCGGAGAGGGUAGCGGAAUUCCCAGUGUAGCGGUGAAAUGCGUAGAUACUGGGAGGAACACCCGUGGCGAAGGCGGCUACCUGGACGGGUACUGACGCUGAGGCGCGAAAGCAUGGGGAGCAAACAGGAUUAGAUACCCUGGUAGUCCAUGCUGUAAACGAUGAACACUUGGUGUUGCGGGUAUUGACCCCUGCAGUGCCGGAGCUAACGCAUUAAGUGUUCCGCCUGGGGAGUACGGUCGCAAGGCUG